rnacentral:rRNA from 1 species
GACGAACGCUGGCGGCGUGCUUAACACAUGCAAGUCGAACGGAAAGGCCCUGCUUUUGUGGGGUGCUCGAGUGGCGACCGGGUGAGUAACACGUGAGUAACCUGCCCUUGACUUUGGGAUAACUUCAGGACACUGGGGCUAAUACCGGAUAGGAGCUCUCGCUGCAUGGUGGGGGUUGGAAAGAUUCGGCGGUUGGGGAUGGACUCGCGGCUCAUCAGCUUGUUGGUGGGGUAGUGGCAUACCAAGGCUUUGACGGGUAGCCGGCCUGAGAGGGUGACCUGCCACAUUGGGACUGAGAUACGGCCCAGACUCCUACGGGAGGCAGCGGUGGGGAAUGUUGCACAAUAGGCGGAAGCCUGAUGCAACAACGCCGCGUGCGGUAUGACGGCCUUCGGGUUGUAAACCGCUUUCGCCUGUGACGAAACGUGAGUGACGGUAAUGGGUAAAGAAGCACCGGCUAACUACGUG